rnacentral:lncRNA from 1 species
CGCGGGCGCGGCCGACCGAUGCCGUGUUCCAAGCUCUAUACUGUCUGUAUAUCGGCUGCGAGCGACCCAGCACAAGAUCCGACCAGGCACGCACGGAGGGCUAAAAGACGCGCGGACGCGGCCGACUGAUGCCUUGUUGCUCUAUACUGCCUGUAUAUCGGCUGCGGGCGACCCAGCACAAGAUCUGACCAGAAAAUGGCGGCAGUGCGGUGGGGUUCCGAUGAAAAACGCGCCUUAAUUACAACCCUGGCCCGCGGGAAAUACUGCUGAUUUAGCUCCGUCUCUUCGCUUUUAACGCGUAUAAAGGGAGCUGUCUUGCAGCAAUAAUUCAUAAAUAAAGGCAUUAAAAGUGUCAUUAUAAAUUUUGCUACCUACAGCCAUCUAAAGAUUUUAACUGCGUUAUUAACAAACGCUUUGAAUACGAAAUGAAAGUAAUGUUUGA